GAUGAACGCUGGCGGCGUGCCUAAUACAUGCAAGUCGAGCGAACGGACGAGGAGCUUGCUCCUCUGACGUUAGCGGCGGACGGGUGAGUAACACGUGGAUAACCUACCUAUAAGACUGGGAUAACUUCGGGAAACCGGAGCUAAUACCGGAUAAUAUAUUGAACCGCAUGGUUCAAUAGUGAAAGACGGUUUUGCUGUCACUUAUAGAUGGAUCCGCGCCGCAUUAGCUAGUUGGUAAGGUAGCGGCUUACCAAGGCGACGAUGCAUAGCCGACCUGAGAGGGUGAUCGGCCACACUGGAACUGAGACACGGUCCAGACUCCUACGGGAGGCAGCAGUAGGGAAUCUUCCGCAAUGGGCGAAAGCCGGACGGAGCAACGCCGCGUGAGUGAUGAAGGUCCUCGGAUCGUAAAACUCUGUUAUUAGGGAAGAACAAAUGUGUAAGUAACUGUGAACAUCUUGACGGUACCUAAUCAGAAAGCCACGGCUAACUACGUG
rnacentral:rRNA from 1 species